AAUUCUGACAUACAGCAGGUACAUACAAUUGUAAAGGAGUAUGACACAGUCACUACAAAAGAGUAGACCCUAGAGAGGUAGUGGAAUGAUCACCUAGGAUGCAUUAACUUUUGCUUGGCCUUCCAACUGCUACUCUGUUUGUUCCGUUCUUGUCAUUUUGUGUUGUGGGUCAUUUCCUUGUUUGUCCUUCUCUCCCUCUCUUUGUCUCUCUAGAUUUUUAUCUCCUGCAAAUUCAGCAGUCUUUUUUCUCCUAGUUUUCAGAAAAUGGAAGAAGUAAUCAUGGAACAAGGAGAGAUGGAGACGCCUUUGAUUCCCACAAAACACAGGAAACAGCAGCAACAGGAAUCUCCUCCAUGUUCAGACUCCAUAGCAGUAGUGGUUCUUGGCACUUUUGUUGCUGUUUCUGGAUCUUAUAUCUUUGGCUCUGCUAUAGGAUACUCAUCACCAACACAGUAUGGGAUUAUGAAUGAACUUGACCUUUCCUUAGCAGAGUACUCAUUUUUUGGUUCAAGUUUAACAAUCGGAGCAAUGACAGGUGCCAUAAUGAGUGGCCGCAUAGCGGAUGUCCUCGGACGUAGGGGUGCUAUGUGGGUUGCCGAUAUAUUUUGCAUUAUUGGUUGGCUCGCAAUACUCUUUUCGAAGGGUGCUUGGGUGCUUGACAUUGGAAGACUAUCAAUGGGAUACGGAAUAGGGCUUCUCUCUUAUGUGGUUCCUGUGUAUAUAGCUGAGAUAACACCCAAGAAUCUUCGAGGAGCAUUUACUACAGUUAAUCAGUUGAUGAUAUGCAUUGGCGCAUCUCUUACCUUUCUAUUUGGAACAAUGGUCACAUGGCGCACUCUAGCACUACUUGGAACCAUUCCGUGCCUAGUACAAUUUAUAGGGCUCAUCUUCAUUCCUGAAUCUCCUAGAUGGCUGGCAAAAGUGGGUAAAGUGGAAGAUUUUGAAUUCUCCCUUCGACGUCUUCGGGGAAACAAUGCCGAUAUAUCUGAAGAAGCCGCAGAAAUUAGAGAUUAUACCGAGACCAUUCAGCGACUGCCAAAAGCCAAAACCUUGGAUUUGUUUCAGAGAAAAUAUGCUCAUUCGCUCAUUGUUGGAGUUGGAUUAAUGGUCCUACAACAAUUUGGAGGUGUUAAUGGAAUUGCAUUUUACGCGAGUUCAAUUUUUGUUUCGGCAGGUUUUUCUUCGGGCAAUGUUGGAACUAUAGCAAUGGUUGCAGUUCAGAUACCCAUGCAAAUAUUAGGUGUACUUUUAAUGGAUAAAUCCGGGAGAAGACCACUUCUUAUGAUUUCUGCAGCUGGAACUUGCUUGGGUUGUUCCCUAGCAGGAUUGUCGUUUCUCUUGCAGUCAAGUACUUUCUCACAAGCAUGGUAGCCAAUUCCCUAAAGAGCUGAGUCCAACAUUGGCCCUUACGGGCAUUCUGGUGUACACAGGAUCUUUCUCAUUAGGCAUGGGUGGGAUACCAUGGGUUAUCAUGUCCGAGAUAUUUCCAAUAAACAUGAAGGGCACAGCAGGGUCCCUAGUGACCUUAGUAAGCUGGUUUGGUUCUUGGAUUGUUUCAUACGCUUUCAACUUUCUCAUGGAGUGGAAUUCAGCAGGUACAUUCUUCAUAUUUUCAAGCAUUUGUGGCUUCACCAUUCUCUUUGUAGCAAAGCUGGUACCAGAAACUAUGGGUCUAACACUGGAAGAAAUACAAGCCUCUAUGAAUCCAUUCUCGAUGGCGAAAUAGAAUUGUUUAAGGUGCAUUUAACAUGAUAACAAUGAUCUGAUUAAGGUAGAAACAACAAGGUCUUCCCCUCUUGUACUGCAUUUGUUGUAACAUAUAGAGCAUAAACGCCACAAUGUUCUCAUUCGCGAAUGUACCUGGUUUUAACUUCUAAGACCAUGUGAAACAUCAUUGAUCCAGCACGUUGACAACAGCUUCAAGGCCGUCCAGUCGACAGUACCUACAGUUUUAUUAUCCUUCCCCAAUCAAAAUGGUCAGGGAUGGGCGCAGUUGGAAUCCUUAUGGGUACGGAUACGUUCGUCUUUCGAUUAUAGCAGGAGAUACGGCCAUCAUGUGAUUGUAUGAAGAUGAAAUCUGUCUCAGUAAGAGCUACAAUGGAAGAAGAACCUGGACAUACAUAAUCGUAAGGUGUUAUCAAUACCUUCUCAUCUCUCCAUCUCAUGUGGCCAUCCUUAGAUAGUUCAUGACAUAUCCAUAAAGAAGAAGUCUGCUGAUCAUCUGGUGUACUCAUUAAAAUAGCUUCAUUCCCAUCAAUUUCCAUCAUUACCGACCGAGCUUGUUGUAAAGAAUCCGGUAAGUCU